rnacentral:rRNA from 1 species
CAAUAGCGUAUAUUAAAGUUGUUGCAGUUAAAAAGCUCGUAGUUGGAUUUCUGGUCGGAAGCUCCUGUCCUCUGAUGAGCGUACAAGUGCGUCCUACCAUCCUUCUGUUAACCUUUAAGGCUUUCGCGGCUUUCUAGGGGCUCAGAUAUUUUACCUUGAGAAAAUUAGAGUGUUUCAGGCAGGCUAGCGCCGGAAUACAUUAGCAUGGAAUAAUGGAAUAGGACUUUUGCCUCUUCUGUUGGUCAUGAGGCUCGAGUAAUGAUUAAUAGGGAUAGUUGGGGGCAUUAGUACUUAACUGUCAGAGGUGAAACUCUCGGAUUUGUUAAAGACUAACUUAUGCGAAAGCAUUUGCCAAGGAUGUUUUCAUUAA